rnacentral:rRNA from 1 species
ACGAACGCUGGCGGCGUGCUUAACACAUGCAAGUCGAACGGAAAGGCCCUGCUUGCAGGGUACUCGAGUGGCGAACGGGUGAGUAACACGUGGGUGAUCUGCCCUGCACUUCGGGAUAAGCCUGGGAAACUGGGUCUAAUACCGGAUAGGAGCCAUUUUUAGUGUGAUGGUUGGAAAGUUUUUUCGGUGUAGGAUGAGCUCGCGGCCUAUCAGCUUGUUGGUGGGGUAAUGGCCUACCAAGGCGGCGACGGGUAGCCGGCCUGAGAGGGUGGACGGCCACAUUGGGACUGAGAUACGGCCCAGACUCCUACGGGGGGCAGCAGUGGGGAAUAUUGCACAAUGGGCGCAAGCCUGAUGCAGCGACGCCGCGGGGGGGAUGACGGCCUUCGGGUUGUAAACUCCUUUCGCUAGGGACGAAGCUUUUUGUGACGGUACCUAGAUAAGAAGCACCGGCUAACUACGUG